AGAGUUUGAUCAUGGCUCAGAAUGAACGCUGGCGGCGCGCCUAAUACAUGCAAGUCGAGCGAGAAGACGUAGCAAUACGUUUGUAAAGCGGCGAACGGGUGAGGAAUACAUGGGUAACCUACCCUCGAGUGGGGAAUAACUAGCCGAAAGGUUCGCUAAUACUGCGUACGCUCCUUGGACUUCGGUUCAGGGAGGAAAGCGAUACCGUGGGUAUCGCGCUCUUGGAUGGGCUCAUGUCCUAUCAGCUUGUUGGUGGGGUAACGGCUCACCAAGGCUUCGACGGGUAGCUGGUCUGAGAGGACGAUCAGCCACACUGGCACUGCGACACGGGCCAGACUCCUACGGGAGGCAGCAGUAAGGAAUAUUGCGCAAUGGGCGAAAGCCUGACGCAGCGACGCCGCGUGGGGGAUGAAGGUCUUCGGAUUGUAAACCCCUUUCGGGAGGGAAGAUGGAACGAGCAAUCGUUCGGACGGUACCUCCAGAAGCAGCCACGGCUAACUUCGUGCCAGCAGCCGCGGUAAUACGAAGGUGGCAAGCGUUAUUCCGAUUUACUGGGCCUACACGGAGCGUAGGCGGUUCGGUAAGCCCUUUGUGAAAUCUCCAGGCUUAACCUGCAACCGUCGGAUGGGACUGCCUGGCUACAGGACUAGAUAGGAACACUUAUAUCGCGGUGUGUGCGGAGCAAUGCGCUUAAGUAUGAAAGCGAACUCGCUAAGCUUAGAUAGUUACUUCUUUUCUUUGUAUUUGAACGCUUGAAAAACUAUUUAGAAUGUUAAACUAUACAAAUAGAUUAAUUUUUCGCUCGUUGAAUCAA
rnacentral:rRNA from 1 species